UACGGGGGGGGCAAGCGUUGUUCGGAAUUACUGGGCGUAAAGGGUUCGUAGGUGGCUUGUUAAGUCAGACGUGAAAUCCCCCGGCUCAACUGGGGAACUGCACGGGAAACAGCAGGGCUUGAGUUCGGGAGAGGGAAGCGGAAUUCCGGGUGUAGCGGUGAAAUGCGUAGAUAUCCGGAGGAACACCGGUGGCGAAGGCGGCUUCCUGGACCGAUACUGACGCUGAGGCGCGAAAGCUAGGGGAGCAAACGGG
rnacentral:rRNA from 1 species